GAUGAAGAACGCAGCGAAAUGCGAUAAGUAGUGUGAAUUGCAGAAUUCAGUGAAUGAUCGAAUCUUUGAACGCACAUUGCGCCCUUUGGUAUUCCUUAGGGCAUGCCUGUUCGAGCGUCAUUUAAACCUUCAAGCUCAGCUUGGUGUUGGGUGACUGUCCGCUUCACCGCGGACUCGCCUCAAAAUUAUUGGCGGCCGGUACAUUGGCUUCGAGCGCAGCAGAAACGCGAACUCGGGCCCGUCGUAUUGGCUCCCAGAAGCUAUCUUCACAAUUUUGACCUCGGAUCAGGUAGGGAUACCCGCUGAACUUAAGCAUAUCAAUAAGCGGAGGA
rnacentral:misc_RNA from 1 species